AAACGAUUAAAGUCAGUCGUACGGACGGGGAAUCAACCUUUCGGGCGUGGAUUCGUGGGAUUCAAAGAGAUUUGUCCUCGCGGCAUUCGCGUUCUUUUGGUGUACUUUCUCGUAACGUAGGUCAUCAUCGGUUUCGAUCGUUAUAAAAUGAUCGGAGGAAUGUGGCUUCGACCUCGGUUGAAGUGUUAUAGCCUUUUUUAAAUGUAACGGUUGGGACCGAGGGUUGCAACGGACGCCCGUCAGGGCUACCCGUCUGGUCUCUGAUUCGUCACUUUGGCGUUGAAAGCUUGCUUACGACGUUAAAGCGCGCGGUCAAAAGGUCAGAACGGGUUAAGUUCGUUAAGGAUGUUGACGUAAUGGCUUUAAACGA
rnacentral:rRNA from 1 species